UCACGUCUUACGACGGCAGUUUCACUAGAGUUCCCAGCGUUACCUGAUGGCAACUAGUGAUGGGGGUUGCGCUCGUUGCGGGACUUAACCCAACAUUUCACAACACGAGCUGACGACAGCCAUGCAGCACCUGUCUCAGAGUUCCCGAAGGCACCCCCACAUCUCUGCAGGGUUCCUGGGAUGUCAAGACCAGGUAAGGUUCUUCGCGUUGCAUCGAAUUAAACCACAUGCUCCACCGCUUGUGCGGGUCCCCGUCAAUUCCUUUGAGUUUCAGUCUUGCGACCGUACUCCCCAGGCGGCGAACUUAACGCGUUAGCUUCGAUACUGAGUGCCUAGUUGCACCCAACAUCCAGUUCGCAUCGUUUAGGGCGUGGACUAC
rnacentral:misc_RNA from 1 species